CGUGUAGGCGGCCGAUUAAGUGUGGAGUGAAAGUCCACUUUUCAAGGGUGGAAUUGCUUUGCAGACUGGUUUGGCUUGAGUGCGGAAGAGGUAAGUGGAAUUCCCAGUGUAGCGGUGAAAUGCGUAGAGAUUGGGAGGAACACCAGUGGCGAAGGCGACUUACUGGGCCGUAACUGACGCUGAGGCGCGAAAGCGUGGGGAGCGAACA
rnacentral:rRNA from 1 species